rnacentral:ncRNA from 1 species
AUUCAGGCAAAGAUUCUGAAGCAGUAGGGAAAAUGUUGGAAAUAAAAGAGAGCCAGGGGCUGGUGAAACCUGGAUGAAGACUUUCCUGAACUCGUCAGAGGAGCAAACCGCAUUCCUGCGUUAUGGGAAAUUGAGUGUACAGACUGAAUGCAGUCUGUGAACUAAGGUGGAACCGCGUGCAAACGUCCUUGGA